rnacentral:lncRNA from 1 species
UGAAUUACAUUUUGAUGAAAAAUCAUUUCAUUUUAAGUGUUAUUUGAAUCUUCAUUUUACUAGAUCUUAUUCUUGAUCAUUGUAGUCCUGUAUGAACUGGUUGACAUGCUAAGCAAGUUGUUAUACUUUUCUGUAUUACUUUCUUUAUAUUUUGUCAAUGUUGUAGUCUCUCUCAGUCAGGAGUUCGUCUUGUUCGUGGCAUUGUGAAAGAUGUUAAAGCUCAUAAGAUUGUCCUUAGUGAUGGUUCUGAGGUUCCAUAUGGGUUGCUGGUAUGGUCCACUGGUGUUGGUCCGUUGCCUAUAAUUCAAUCUUUGGAUCUCCCAAAAGCUCCUGGAGGAAGGUUAAUUCUGUUUCUCAAUAUUGUUGCUUUCAUUUCCUGUGACAACCUAGGAAAAGUUACAAAUUUAAAGCUGAUUUGAGGAUAGAUAUAGUUUUUUAUGCAAUAUAUAAGGAAAGCUUCUGAUUGAUUUUGUUUCAUAGGAUUGGUGUUGAUGAGUGGCUUCGUGUUCCUUCGGUACAUGAUGUGUUCUCAAUAGGUGACUGCAGUGGAUUUGUUGAAAGUACUGGAAGACAAACACUUCCUGCACUAGCCCAAGUAAGUGAUAUUGGGUUCAUUGGCUUCUCCUGUACACUCCUUCAUUCCUUAAAUUCUUUCAAUUUGUAGUUUUUGUUUUAGGCUAAUGUCUGAUAUGAGACAUUUCGUAGGGACAUUGAUUCUUUUAUUCUCGUUUGUAAUGAAUCUUCAUCAGUGAAGUAGUGUUGCUAGUUUCAUCUUUGACAAAAAGUAUGUUGUUGACCAUUUGACACAUUGCCAUUUGAAUUCCACAGGUGGCAGAGAGGCAAGGUAAAUAUUUAGCAGCUCUGUUAAACAAAAUUGGUAAAGCAGGUGCAGGCCAUGCAAACUGUGCAAAAGAAAUAGAAUUUGGGGAUCCAUUUGUUUACAAGCACCUUGGAAGCAUGGCGACUAUUGGUAGAUACAAGGCCCUUGUUGACCUUAGACAGGGCAAGGUAAUGGUUAUCAUUACUGUGAUACUGUUUCUGGUCCCUCAAAAACUUAUUAAGUUAUUGUCUCACUUACUAUGGCUCUUGCAGG